AUUGAACGCUGGCGGCAGGCCUAACACAUGCAAGUCGAGCGGAUGAAGGGAGCUUGCUCCUGGAUUCAGCGGCGGACGGGUGAGUAAUGCCUAGGAAUCUGCCUGGUAGUGGGGGAUAACGUCCGGAAACGGGCGCUAAUACCGCAUACGUCCUGAGGGAGAAAGUGGGGGAUCUUCGGACCUCACGCUAUCAGAUGAGCCUAGGUCGGAUUAGCUAGUUGGUGGGGUAAAGGCCUACCAAGGCGACGAUCCGUAACUGGUCUGAGAGGAUGAUCAGUCACACUGGAACUGAGACACGGUCCAGACUCCUACGGGAGGCAGUAGUGGGGAAUAUUGGACGAUGGGCGAAAGCCUGAUCCAGCCAUGCCGCGUGUGUGAAGAAGGUCUUCGGAUUGUAAAGCACUUUAAGUUGGGAGGAAGGGCAGUAAGUUAAUACCUUGCUGUUUUGACGUUACCAACAGAAUAAGCACCGGCUAACUUCGUG
rnacentral:rRNA from 1 species